UCAUUUUUAACUAUUAUUAUUUUUUUAAUUUUAAGACUUUCUGUUUGAAAACAAUUUUUUUUAAGUCAGCAGUACUUUUGAAUGUUUUUUACACUGCCGAGUGACAAUAUUUCAAAUUUUAUUAGGAUGAACUAAACAAUCAAGAAAUAUUGGUUUUUUUUUUAAAUUUUCUGAGACAUCUUGAAUGAAGGCAUAUUUUGAAAGUCAGCAGUACUUUUGAAUGUUUUGGAUACUACCGAGUGACAAUAUUUCAAAUUUUAUUGAGAUGAACUAAAAAAUAAAGAAAUAUUCGUUUUUUUUUUUUUUUGAAAUUUUCUGAGA